rnacentral:rRNA from 1 species
UACGUAGGGGGCUAGCGUUGUCCGGAUUUAUUGGGCGUAAAGAGCGUGUAGGCGGCCAAGUAGGUCCGGUGUGAAAACUCGAGGCUUAACCUCGAGAUGUCAUCGGAAACCAUUUGGCUAGAGUCCGGAAGAGGAAAGUGGAAUUCCGAGUGUAGAGGUGAAAUUCGUAGAUAUUCGGAGGAACAUCAGUGGCGAAGGCGGCUCACUGGUCCAUUACUGACGCUGAGGUGCGAAAGCGUGGGGAGCAAACAGG